rnacentral:tRNA from 1 species
GAUGUGGCUCAAGUGGUAGCGUGCUUGCCUGGCAUGCAUGCGGCCGGGUUCGAUCCUCAGCACA